GAAUAAAAAGAGUACAUGCUGGCAAUCUAGAUUGAUUGAAAUAAACCUGUUAAAUAAAUGCGUGCAAAUGUAAUCAAAAGCUGAGUGCAAAUGUAAAACAUUUUAAUUCCCAAAUGUGUGCAAACAGAGCGCACCCAUUAAAAGGAGAUGUGGUACUAUAGUAUAUGAUUGGUAUUGAGACCACUCUCCACAAGAGACCAAAGUAAGUUAACUAUUAAAGGCCCCGAGAUGAGCAUAUUAUCCUGUCUGAAAAAAAGGAUUCAUUACUUUUAUUAAUUAUUUAGUCAUGAUACGAGAUCCUAAGUAUUUAUUACGUACUUCUGGAAUAUUUGCUGCUGCACAAUAAGGGAGGCAACAUAUAACGUGCAAUGGGGAUUUCAAACUUAUAAGACGAAAACAUACCGACAAUGCCAGGCAAAAUAAAACGAAAAACACCUGAGUUCUUUGAAAUGUCAAAAUUGCCUUAUUUUGAGCAGGGACUUUCUAUACUAAGUCCCUGUUUUGAGG
rnacentral:lncRNA from 1 species